GAGAGCUCUGCAUAACAUGAUAACAUGUAGGGGUCAACUGCAGCCAAACCAAGUCCAGACGGAACAUUUUGGAGGAAAUUCAAACAUCAGUUUUGUAAUCAGAAGAUCAUUAACGAAAAUCACGACCUCAGUCCGGGAAUUGGACACCAGGAAACUUGGCGAAACCUGCUUUUUGUAUCCCCCCUUACCUGAAAGCGAGUCCUCUCCGCUGCGUACUUCUGGUAGUGUGCCAUGGCCUGCAGCACCUUCUUGUGUCCGUCGGGCACCAGGCACACAGCCCCGAGGAUCUCCAGCACCGCCACUUUGGUCUUGAUGUUCUCCGUCCGCAGGCUCUGGGAGAUGGUGUUGAUGCUCUGCGGGUGAGCGAGGACGUGAGCGCGGCCCUGCGAGUUGUUCAUCAAGGCCUUGAUGCAGCCAAUGACGGAGGUGUGGACCCGGCUCUCGGACGUCUCGUAGUCCAUGCUGCGCAGGAAGUUGAGGAGGCAGGCAGACGAGGAAAAACACAACGCAGAGAUAUGUAAAUCAUCCAAUUAUUAUCAUCUACAUCAAGGCCACGGCUCGUCCUCUGCUCACACACAAUCAGUCCCAGAUUUUUCCAGCAGAUGCUCACGCAGACAUUACCUGGCAUGACCGGUAAAUCUCUCAGACACGUAAUCCUCUGAUCUGCAGCAGCCUGGACGAGACCAAGGAGGUCACACAGGAUGCAUGCAAGCAACCGAUUGAGGUUUCAUGUCACAGGAAUUUUAAAUUCUAAUAAAGACGUUAAACAGA